rnacentral:rRNA from 1 species
GGUUAAGCGACUAAGCGUACACGGUGGAUGCCCUGGCAGUCAGAGGCGAUGAAGGACGUGCUAAUCUGCGAUAAGCGUCGGUAAGGUGAUAUGAACCGUUAUAACCGGCGAUUUCCGAAUGGGGAAACCCAGUGUGAUUCGUCACACUAUCAUUAACUGAAUCCAUAGGUUAAUGAGGCGAACCGGGGGAACUGAAACAUCUAAGUACCCCGAGGAAAAGAAAUCAACCGAGAUUCCCCCAGUAGCGGCGAGCGAACGGGGAGCAGCCCAGAGCCUGAAUCAGUGUGUGUGUUAGUGGAAGCGUCUGGAAAGGCGCGCGAUACAGGGUGACAGCCCCGUACACAAAAAUGCACAUAUUGUGAGCUCGAUGAGUAGGGCGGGACACGUGGUAUCCUGUCUGAAUAUGGGGGGACCAUCCUCCAAGGCUAAAUACUCCUGACUGACCGAUAGUGAACCAGUACCGUGAGGGAAAGGCGAAAAGAACCCCGGCGAGGGGAGUGAAAAAGAACCUGAAACCGUGUACGUACAAGCAGUGGGAGCCUCUUUUAUGGGGUGACUGCGUACCUUUUGUAUAAUGGGUCAGCGACUUAUAUUCUGUAGCAAGGUUAACCGAAUAGGGGAGCCGAAGGGAAACCGAGUCUUAACUGGGCGUUAAGUUGCAGGGUAUAGACCCGAAACCCGGUGAUCUAGCCAUGGGC